CAUCACUUGAGGUAUGUUUGUCUCAAAGUUUAGUACCUUUUCUCGGGCGUUGACUUUUGUUGACUUUUUCUCUUCCUAAGAGUUGACUUUUGUUGACUAUUUGCAAUUUUGGCUCAUUUUGCUCGUUUUUGUAUCUUUUAUAGAUUUCUUUAGAUAACUGACGAUAUCCCGUAUAGCGGAGGUCCUCCAUAUGCAGAGGACGAGCCCGACAUCAUACCGUUGCCUCCGAGGAUACGGCCGUUCGUCCCUGAGGGGUACGACCUGAAGGAGCACAUCCUUCCUCCUGGCACCUUCUACCACUUCACGGACUUUGCGCGGCGGGCACCUGCAGACCUGCUACUACGAGAGCCAGAGUCCCAUCUAUUUCAUCACGCGCAUGAGCUCAUACUUUUCAUUCUAAAGCUGAAUACAUCUGUUCAUUCUGAAUGCAAGUAUCUUCCCGUUUCACACGGGGUUAUGGGUCUAUCCUCACGAGGGAGUGGUACAUGGAGCUCGCAGACGCUGUUCGACAUAUAGUGGACGAGGCAGGGUUUGGUCUAUUCUGUGCAGGAUUGUCACGUCAUCCAGCGAGUAGGACCUUCUUGGGGGCACUUGUGGAGAGAUGGUGGGACACCACCAACUCCUUCCAUUUCUCAGCCAUUGAGGAUAUGACGAUGACCCCAUACGACUUCUCCAUGCUGACGGGCCUUGAGGUGGGAGGCCGGCCGAUUCCAUACGACGCAGAUAUAGGUGAGUGGGAGACCGCUUGGAUUUAUUUGCUCAGAGCCCGUCCGCCGAUCGACAGAUCAUCGGGCAGGCUUAGGUACACCUGGUUUUCCGAGCAGUACAGGGGGACUUCGCCCCAGACCAUUGAGACCGUACAACAGUACGCCCGAGGAUUUUUGAUGUUCCUCCUCGGGACCACACUGUUCUCCGACAAGGGGAACACGGUUGGGCUUUAUCUGCUCAGUGCUCUGGUGGACCUAUCACGAGUCCAGCUCUUUGAUUAGGGUGGCGCUGCCCUCGCUUUCCUUUACUGCUACAUGAGCGCGACCUCCCGUGAGCGAGGGACCAUAGUUGGAGGCUACUGGCGAGCCUGGGAGCUGUAGGUUUAUGCAUACUUCUCGACGUUGGCCCCUAAACUAGAGGUCGAGGCACCCCUUGAGGUCCCUUACUCGCGCAGAUUUGAGGGUCGGUGUCGGUCCAGGCCCCGGGAGACUUUGCCCUUUCUCCGGCAGUUCUUCGAUACUGUACGGGCGACAGAGCCUUGGAUAGCUAUGCCAGGGAAUCCUCGAUUUCUGUUCGCUGGGACAUGGGGCACUUCGCGAUACAGGGCUCUGCUUGAGGGACCGGUCGGCAGAGCCUAGUUUCUCAGAGAGUGCUCCAUGCGCCAGACGAUGGGCAACUUCGAUCAGGACGUUCCCUCGUUGCCUCUACCAGAGAUGUGGUCCGCAGGGGAUCUUACGCCCCGAAAGACGGAGGACCUCAUGCUGGGUAUUGAUGCUGUCCUUUUUCUGGAGGAGGGGGAUUACGCGACAUAUCGCCAUACGUACCUGAUGCCUCUGCUGUCAGGUGUCCGUAUCCCCAGGAAGAGAGCUACUGACAUGCCUUCCUCGAGUCGCGCCCGAGCUAGAGGCAUUCCUUCGACCAGCGGGGCAGGCUCAUCGAGAGGCGGGACCGAAUGGAUGCCCUCGACUUGCCAGUAUGCUGGAUGGCCAGAUCUCCCGACCGAGCUGACAGGCUGGCGGUA